UACGUAGGGGGCUAGCGUUGUCCGGAAUCAUUGGGCGUAAAGAGCGUGUAGGCGGACCUGCAAGUCGGGGGUGAAAGCCCGAGGCUCAACCUCGGAACUGCCUUCGAUACUGCGGGUCUCGAGUCCGGGAGAGGUGAGUGGAAGUUCCUAGUGUAGAGGUGAAAUUCGUAGAUAUUAGGAAGAACACCAGUGGCGAAGGCGGCUCACUGGCCCGGUACUGACGCUGAGGCGCGAAAAGCGUGGGGAGCAAACAGG
rnacentral:rRNA from 1 species